GUGCAAUUCCCCACCAUUUAUUGAUUAACAGUUAUGAGUCGGGCAUGGUGCCAGGGUUGAGGAUACAUAGGUGAAUGAUGCACAAUUCUUUUGUCCAAGCUGUUCAUUGAUGAGAAAGGAACUCGGAGAUAUUUGGUUUCAUUUUAAAAUGUAAGAAUUCUUUACUGCGAGUAGCACUUGCAUUUCUCUUUUCCAAACUAUGGGAUGGUUAUCAAACAUGUAUCUCCAAAGGUGUUUGUAGCCAAGAAGAGGCACAGGGAGAAGAGAAGGUAUACUGAGCUAGAUUUCAGAGUGGAAGAAGAGUACAUUCUGCUUUGCAGUGUAUUUUAUACUUGGAAGAAUGAGAGAAAACCAGUACUGCGGAAGGGAGGUGUCGCUCAUCCCUGGGGCACAAGAGGUUGUAGGUGAGGAAGGGAGACCAGUGAAAGUGCAGAACAAUUCCUCCUCCCCGACCUCUCUAGCUUUGAUGUACUUUACGUGGCUUAUAUCAGGUUAAUAUUGUCAACGAUAUCCCUGAAGGGAUAGCAGAAUCAGGAAAUCACAGUCUGAGGGUUGUAUAUAAUGUGUUCAAAUUAAAGGGCAGUUUUCUUUAAUUUGCCUUGUAUUGGUAAAUUGCUAAAAUGAACCUCGGGAUUUCUUAACAUCAGCUACUAGAGGCAUGCUCCUCUCCCAGUUGCUUCCUUUCUGAGUCACAGCUCAGCCAAGCUCUGUCUUUUCAGUCUGUUGGA
rnacentral:lncRNA from 1 species